rnacentral:rRNA from 1 species
UACGAGGGGGGCAAGCGUUGUUCGGAAUUACUGGGCGUAAAGGGUCCGUAGGCGGUGCGGUAAGUCGGGAGUGAAAUCUCUGGGCUUAACUCAGAGGCUGCUUCCGAAACUACCGUGCUAGAGUGCGAGAGAGGCAAGUGGAAUUGCGGGUGUAGCGGUGAAAUGCGUAGAUAUCCGCAGGAACAUCCGAGGCGAAAGCGGCUUGCUGGAUCGCAACUGACGCUGAGGGACGAAAGCUAGGGGAGCAAACAGG